AAAUAAGAUAACCCCAAAUGCUAGAUCACCGAUCGUCCCAACUAGGCUCCACUACUGAUCAUCAGGAAAAAAACAUAGUAACGACCACGUUCCUCAUCGAACUCCCACUUGAGCUCGGUUGCGUCAUCUGCACUGGCAUCGUCGGCACCUGCAACUGUUUUGGUAGAAUCUGUGAGUCACGAGGACUCAGCAAUCUCACACCUGCGAGAUCAAGACUAUUUAAGCUUAUAGGAAAGGAUGGUGUAAUGAGGUGGAGCUGCAGCAGGCACUAAACAUAUAUGGUGGCUAACAUACGCAAAUGAGAGCGAGAAGAGAAGCAAUGCAACGGUCGCGAAGCUAGAAAUGAUCAAGAAGUGAUCCUGAAACUACUUACGUUCAAGCAUAACUCAAACCGUGUUCACUUCCCGGACUCCGCCGAGAAGAGACCAUCACGGCUACACACACAGUUGAUGUAUUUUAAUUAAGUCAAGUGACAAGUUCUCUACAACCGGACAUUAACAAAUUCCCAUCUGCCUCAUAACCGCGGGCACGGCUUUCGAAAGAUAAUACCCUGCAGGGGUGUCCCAACUUAGCCCAUCAUAAGCUCUCACGGUCAACGAAGGAUAAACCUUCUCCCAGGAAGACCCGAUCAGUCUCGGAAUGCCGGUUUACAAGACAUUUCGACAAUGGUAAAACAAGACCAGCAAAGCCGCCCGAAUGUGCCGACAAAUCCCGAUAGGAGCUGCACAUAUCUCGUUCUCAGGGCACACCGGAUGAGCAGUCCGUACAACUAAAACCAGGCCUCAAGUUUCCCCAAGGUGGCGCUGCAAAGGGCUCUAGUUUGGACCAGCACUCAGAGGAACACUGGCCCGGGGUGUUGAAAAUAUAAACCUUAGAGUCACCCGCCAGGAGGGGCCGGGUUACUCAUAAUGGUCAUCGCCUGAAGCCCGGCGCCAACCUUGAAGACGGCGUGCCAAAGAUGGGCUUAAGACCCGGAUAUGGCUUAAGGCCCGUAGUUACAGCCGCCAUUAUGAUAGAACUUGUAGUGUAAGGCAAUAAUAGUUGAGAGUCCGAGCCGGGCACUCUUAUGAGCCGGCCGGGACUCUGAGAGCUGUUGGGCGUCAACCUCUCUAUAUAAAGGGACGACCCGGCGGCGGUUUAGGGACAAGAAAGAUCUCGUCGAGAGCCAGGCAUAGCAGUUAAGCUCCCUGGUCAUCGAAAUCCUAAUCAAUACCACCUCAACUGGACGUAGGCUUUUACCUUCACUGGGGCCGAACCAGUAUAAUCCUCGUGUUCCUUGUCCCGUUUAACCCCUUCAAGCUUCCUAGCUGCGAUGGCUCCACGACUAAGUCCUAGCUCGAGGACAUUUUCUGUGACAAUUCCACGACAGUUGGCGCCCACCGUGGGGCCAGCGCACGGUGGAUUUGAGUUCUUGAAGGGCAGCUUCGAAGGGCUCAAGGGAUACGUUGUGGGCCGGAUGACCAAGAGUCAUCGCGGCAAGCUCUACAUCGACGAUGCAAACUGGGGCCCCGACGCCGGCUCAGUGGAGUACGGGUACCGGAUCCCCUUCGGCGGAAUUCAUGUCUUCAUUGGCAAGAUUGGUGAGCCGGGCCCCGAGCCGGAUCUUUGCGCUGAUCUCAUCGAGACGGCUCAGCGUGCACGACCCGUCCGGGCCCUGCCUACCUUGAGGCAUGCUUUUGUGGGAUGUGUCCAUGGAGGGAUCUCUGAUGGAUCUGGUGAUGAGACGGCCGCCGGCUCUGACGGCGAAUCGUCCAUAGAUGAGUCAAACUCAUUGUAUCAACUUCAAGAUGGCAGGCUCAGGGGCUGUUCCGAUGGUGACAGUAUUCCGGACCCUUUUGAGCCACCGAGCCGGGUUGGAAUCUUCAUGGCCGGUGCACAGCCUGUUCAAAACCCUGCGGCCGGGUCAGGAAAUCCGGUGCCCUCGCCGGCUCAGGUGCUGAUGGAUCUCACGGACAAGAUGACGGCCCUGUUGACCGCCACGGUCGACCCGGCGGAUCAAGCUCAGCAUGACGCGGAGGUGGCGCAGUUAAAAUUAGAUCUAGUGAAAGCCAAGGAGGAUCUGGCAGCGGAAGGGAUCAGGAUGGCUGCGGAGAGGGCGGCUCUCGACGCCCAGACUCAGCUGAUUCAGGCGUAGUCCUUCCGGCUCACGAUGGAUCAGAACGCGUCCAAUGAGGUCAUGAGAAGGAGGCAUCAAAAGGCCCAAUCUCGACUCCCUCCGGUCUACGAUCCUCGAAACCUCUUCAACACGCCAGGUGCAGGGUCUAGUAACCCGCCGGGGGUCAUAGUGCCCGGGUCUGGGACCCCUGUUCGGCCACAAGUGAUGGGGCCUCCCCGAGUGAACCCUGCCCCGCCUCAGUACGUGCCAAUACCACCGGGUCAUUAUGCUAACCCGCUGGAGAACAUGGUCGCCGCAGCAGCACGGCUGGCGGCUCUCCCAAUUGACGGCGACUCUCCAACGGCUGUUGAAACCCGCCGGGUCAGAGAACUCCUUCAGACAGUGCUGGCACAGCAGGAGGCGUAUUCUUACAUCCGGGACAGGAUCCACUCAACCCCUCGUCCAGGCCGGAGUCCGAGUUACAGCAAACACAUGGUCUCUGCGACCGGCUCAAGUAAUGUCCGACGCCAUGACCCGCCCCCUGGCCAUGGCCCGGCUCAUAACGGAGUCUUUCACGCAGCGGACCAAGACAGAGCGCGACAAGAGGCAGAGCCGGCGCCUCAGUUGACGGCUUACCAGACACCCCCGGUUACCCGACGACUUCCGUCGACGUGGGUAUCCCUACGACGACCGGAGGUGUCCCUUGUUUAGUGCCGGCUCUCCGUAAUGAACGUCUACCCAAGGACUUCAAAGGGCCGAGGAAGGUGCCUAAUUACACGGCUGAUUUAUAACCCGGGGCCUGGAUCGAGAGUUACGAGAUGGCCAUGGAAUUGCUGGAGGUCAGUGAAGCUGCGAUGGCCAAGUACUUCACCAUGAUGUUAGAUGGGACUGCCCGCACUUGGUUGAAAGGGCUACCACCGAAUUCCAUCGGGUCUUGGGCUGAGCUGAAAGCCCGUUUCAUCCAAAAGUUCAAGGAUACCUGUAGGCAGUCCAUGUCAAUUGUGGAUUUGACUAACUGUAAACAGCAGGAGGGUGAGUCUACGACACACUGGGUUCGCCGGAUCAAAGAGAUCAUACAUUCAUCUGAUAAGAUGGAUGCCGGUUCUGCAGUCUUAAUGUUGGAACAGAAUUGUCGUUUCCUGCCCCUGAAGAUGAAACUCGGGCGGCUUAAGCGCGACUGCAAUGAUAUGGGUACGCUGAUGGCGGCUCUCGUCAAAUAUGCCGACUCUGAUAGUACCAAGGACCCCACUUCAGAUGAUGAAAGGACAGGGAAGGGAAAGAAGAACGGCAAUGGCAAGGGUCCUCAGCAUAACCCGGGGAACCAAGGAGGUGGCAAGCGUAAGGCCGACGGCAGCCUGGAGUUCGUGGCCAACGCCAGCUCACAGGGUAAUAACUAGCGACGCAAGGGGAGGCCACCUCCCCGAGCCAGCGGGUCAGGCCCGACGCUGGAGCAGCUGUUGAAUGAGCCUUGUCCAAGGCACGGUUCUAGGGAGAAGCCAGCUACUCAUUUAUGGAAGGAUUGCGCGAUCAUGAAGGCCUUUAAGAAUUCCAAUACCUUUAACGGUAACAACGGCCCGGGCGGCGGCCCACGCGCUGGCGGUUUUCAUGGCCCGGGCGGCGGCUCAAAUUCUAAUCCUCAGAACGGUCAAGGGGGCUUUAAUCAGCAGUCUGGCCAGGGUCAUCAACAGCAGCAGGGGGUUAUUAGACCAAUCCGAAGCAGCUGAACGGUGGACAGUAUCAUGUAUUUACCACCAGUCUGUGUAAGCGAGAUCAGAAGCUUCAUAAGAGGGCUGUGAAUGCUGUUGAGCCGGCGGUUCCACGCUAUUUAAGAUGGUCUGAGCAGCCUAUCGUGUGGAGUAGGGAGGAUCACCCUCCCCGGGUUGAUAAUCCGGGUCACUUGGCCUUGGUGGUGGCUCCUCAGGUGGGAGGAUAUAAGUUCACUAAGGUGCUCAUGGAUGGAGGCAGCAGUAUCAACAUUCUUUAUUAUGAGACUUUCCGUCGUAUGGGGUUGAUUGAUAAGAACCUCAACCAGUCAAACACUGUUUUCCACGGUGUGGUGCCUGGUAAGUCAGCUUAUCCAGUUGGCAAAAUCGAGUUGGAAGUGGCCUUUGGAGAUGAGUAAAACUACAGGGUGGAAAAAUUGACCUUUGAGGUGGUCAAGAUAAGAAGUCCGUAUCAUGCCAUAUUUGGGCGGCCGGCUUACGCCAAGUUCAUGGCACGGCCGUGUUACGUGUAUUUACAGCUCAAGAUGCUGGGUCACAAUGGGACCAUUAAGGUUCACGGCAGCCGGAAGGUGGCCUUGGAGUGUGCGGAAGGUGAUGCAGCCUAUGCAGAAUCUGUUUGCGCAACAGAGGAGUUGAAAUUUUACAAGGACAAUGUCGACCCAACAGAUAUGACCUCUCUGAAAAAGCCGACCACGGAGCAUGAGCCGGCAAUGAAAUUUAAGUCGGCCGAUGAGACUAAGCUUGUUGAUUUCGUUCCAGGUGAUUCAUCUCAGCAGUUUAGCAUCAGUGCCAAUCUGGAUCCAAAAUAGGAAAGCGCGCUCAUCGAGUUCAUCCGUGAGAAUAGAGACAUUUUUGCAUGGAAGCCUUCUGACAUGCCAGGUGUACCUAGAGAACUCGCUGAGCACACUCUCAAUGUUGAUCCAAAAUUUAAGCCGGUCAGGCAAUUCCUUCGGCGGUUUAAUGAAGAGAGGCGGAAAGCCAUUGGUGAAGAGGUGGCCCGGCUCUUGGCGGCUGGUUUUAUUGUUGAAGUCUUUCACCCGGAGUGGCUAGCUAACCUGGUGCUCGUACUCAAGAAGAACGGCACCUGGCGGAUGUGUGUGGACUACACGGACUUAAACAAGGCAUGUCCGGCUGAUCCUUUUGCUCUUCCCCGUAUUGAUCAAAUCAUUGAUGCUACGGCGGGUUGCGAGCGCUUAAGUUUCUUGGAUGCUUAUUCUGGAUACCAUCAGAUUAAAAUGGCAGUUAAGGACCAGGAGAAGACGGCGUUCAUCACUCCCUUUGGAGCCUUCUGCUAUGUGUCUAUGCCUUUUGGGCUCAAGAGUGCACAGGCGACUUAUCAGCGUUGCGUGCAGAACUGUCUUCAUAACCAGAUUGGGCGCAAUGUUCAUGCUUAUGUGGAUGAUAUUGUGGUUAAGUCCAGGGAAGAGAAAACCUUGAUAGAUGAUCUGAGGGAAACCUUUGAUAAUCUCCGGGUCUACAAGAUGAUGCUUAACCCGGCCAAGUGUGUUUUUGGUGUUCCUGCAGGCAGGCUCUUGGGUUUCUUGGUUUCUAACAGAGGUAUUGAAGCUAACCCGGAGAAGAUCAAGGCAAUCACCUCUCUGGCUAAGCCGGCAUGUAUAAACGACGUCCAGCGCCUGGCGGGUCGUAUUGCUGCUUUAAGCCGGUUUAUAAGCCGCUUGGGUGAGAAGGCCAUGCCAUUGUACCAGUUGAUGAAGAAAACUGAUAACUUUUUCUGGAAUGAUGCUGCUAAUACUGCUUUUGAGGAUUUGAAGAGACAGCUGGCUGAGCCCCCGGUCCUUGCUGCUCCGAUUGACAAGGAGCCUUUAUUGCUGUAUGUAGCUGCUAACACACGGGCCGUCAGUGUGGCUGUGGUGGUGGAACGCAAGGAAGAGGGCAAGGAGCAUCCGGUUCAGCGACCGGUUUAUUACAUCAGUGCAGUGCUCAUCGAGUCCAAACAGCGGUAUCCACAUUGGCAGAAGCUUGUUUAUGGUGUGUUCAUGGCAAGCCGGAAGCUUAAGCAUUACUUCCAGGGUCACCCUAUCACUGUGGUUAGUUCUGCUCCCCUUGGAGAUAUCAUCCAAAACAGAGAAGCUACAGGAAGAGUGGCUAAGUGGGCUAUAGAGCUCGGGCCUCAUGGUCUGAAGUACGUACCACGCACUGCUGUUAAAUCUCAAGCCUUGGUGGAUUUCAUCAACGAUUGGACAGAGUUACAAGUGCCCGAAGAAAGGCCGGAUAACACAUAUUGGACUAUUCACUUCGAUGGGUCCAGGCAAUUGGAGGGCUCGGGGGCUGGAGUUGUAUUGGCUUCCCCUAAAGGUGACAAGUUCCAUUACGUGCUACGGUUGAUGUUUCCUUGCACUAACAAUGCGGCUGAGUACGAGGCCUUGCUCCAUGGUCUUCGGAUGGCUAAGGAGAUGAGCUUGAGCCGGGUAAGAUGCUUCGGCGACUCGGACUUAGUGGCUCAACAAGUAUCGGGCAAGUGGGAUUCCAAGGACCCUCUUAUGGCGGCUUAUCACCGUGAAGUUGAUGCCAUUGCUGGACACUUUCAGGGUUACCAAGUAGAGCACAUCGAUCGCAAGAAGAACGAGGCGGCUGAUGCUUUAAGCCGGCUGGGCUCUCAGCGAAAACCGGUGCCGCCUAAUACUUUCCUGGAUGUCUUGCAUAACCCUUCUGUUAAGUUGCCUACAGAGGAAGACUUGGCUGUCCCUGACCCGGAGGCACAAUUGGUGGCGGCUCUCCACAUCAUCCCGGACUGGACAGUGCCCUAUCUGGCUUACAUGACCUGGGGAGAUUUGCCUGAGGAUGAAACUUUGGCCAGACAAAUAACCCGGCGGUCUAAGUCAAUGGUUGUUAUCAAUGGUGAGUUGCAUCGCCGCAGUGUUACGGGAGCGUUCCAGCGUUGUGUCUCCCCUGAGGAAGGCCAAGAGAUCUUGCGUGAGAUUCAUGAAGGGGAUUGUGGCCAUCAUGCCGGCUCAAAAUCCCUUGUGGCCAAAGCUUUUCGUCAUGGCUUUUAUUGGCUGACGGCUCAUGCUGAUGCGGAGGACUUGGUCAGUAAAUGUGAUGGUUGCCAAAGGUUCUCACGACGGGCUCAUGUGCCGGCUCAGGAGCUGAGGAUGAUACCAAUCACUUGGCCAUUUGCAGUCUGGGGGCUUGAUAUGGUUGGGCCUUUUAAAAGGUCCAAGGAUAAGAAGACCCACCUCUUGGUGGCAGUUGACAAGUUCACAAAGUGGGUUGAAGCAGAGCUAGUUAGCAAGUGUGACGCGGCCACGGCGGUUCAAUUCAUGAAAAAGGUGAUAUUUCGCUUUGGCUUUCCACACAACAUUAUAACUGACAAUGGUACCAAUCUGUCCAAGGGCGCCAUGGAGGAGUUUUGUCAACGAGAGCAUAUUCGACUUGAUGUUUCAUCAGUGGCUCAUCCUCAAUCCAAUGGUCAAGCUGAGAGAGCUAAUCAGGAGAUCUUGAAGGGCAUUAAGCCCCAGCUUUUGGUCCCUUUGCAACGAACGCUGGGUUGUUGGGUGGAGGAGUUACCCUCCGUGUUAUGGAGCAUCAACACUACUCCUAACAGGUCUACGGGUUACACGCCUUUCUUCAUGGUUUAUGGAGCAGAAGCAGUCCUCCCCAGUGACAUCCGUCAUGACUCGCCUCGAGUGGCGGCUUAUGUUGAGGCGGAUAAUGAACAGGCACGCCAAGAUGCUCUUGACUUGUUGGACAAACAGCGUGACGUGGCCGCAGCUCGUUCAGCAAUUUACCAACAAGACCUGCGUCGUUAUCACAGUCGCCGGGUUAAGUCCCGGGUCUUCCAGGAAGGUGACCUGGUGCUCCGGCUCAUCCAAGAUCAAACAGAUGCGCACAAGCUAUCCCCGCCUUGGGAAGGACCCUUUGUGGUCAGCAAGAACUUGCACAACGGGUCAUAUUACCUCAUUGACAUUCGGGAGCGCAAAGAUUCACGCAAGUCGGAGGAGGAGACCCGUCGGCCGUGGAACAUAGCUCAGCUUCGGCCUUAUUACACUUGAGCCACCGACUCUCGUAAUGUACAUAUUUCUAUAAGCCAUGUAUAUAUUAUGAUAAGCAAUAAAGCAGGACCUCUGUCCUUUUUCUCCUCCAAAGGUAAAUGUGUUGUUUCCGUUACAAGAUCACAUGGUAACUUGGAGGUGGAUCCGGCUUAUGAUCGUAUUCGAAUCUAGCCGUACGUAAUAUAGUCACUUGGGGGCUUCCUGUUCAAACAUAGGUCGUAUUCGAACCAAAGAGAACAUAGCUGUCGAUACCCAUUUGAUUGGCAAAGUGCCGAGCUCAUUGGGGAGUUUUCCUUGAUCAUAUUUGAAUCAUGGCUCAACCCCCUUUGGGAACCGACGUGGAUCGUAUUCGAAUCAGCGUCGUUAAACAAUUCUCAAGGUCAUUUGGGGGCUUCCUGUUCAAACAUGGGUCGUAUUCGAACCCAAGAGAACAUAGCUGUCGGUACCCUCUUGAUUGGCAUCGCCAAACCCACUGGGGGCUAUGUGAUCGCAUUCGAAUCUUAGCUUAACCCCUUUGGGACGGGUCUCUGGUCGUAUUCGAACCGGAAGCCCCUAAGUUUUGAUUUUUCGGCUUACAACAAGUUCUUCUGGUUGUAUCAACAGUGUACACGGCGGUUCUUAUUCCGCCGACUUAACUUUGAUUCACAAGGUUAGUUACACGCAAUCAGUAUUAUCAAGACAGGUAAACCGGAGUUGAGGUACCAACCUUAUUAUCCGGGUUAUACAAACCGGAAGCGAAUUUGAAGGCCUGUAAGUAUGUUAUUACGGUUAUAUCAAGGAUUUAAUUGAGGACCGGUCUUGGGUGACUUAGAUUCAUAUUCCGGGUUAUAUAUAUGAGACGAUGAUUUCUCAGUACGGUAAACCGCCAGGAGACUUGUGAUUUGUUUUUCUAUGCAGGGUAGUUAAAGACAACUAUUUGAGCUUAAGGAAAAUGAAUGAUCAAUUAUGACCCGGAAGAAUAUAAGGAAGCCACUUCAAAUGGAGUUAAGCAUUCAACAAGUGCACGAUGGCAUGACAAAGUUAAAAUAUUGAUCCUACUCUAUUACAAGACUCCCCGAGUCCAAAAGAUGAGGCAUUGUUUUCAAGAUGUCGUCAUGAGCCGCCUACAAGUUAAGAUGCUUGUCGAGUUGAAGCUUCCGGCUCAUCCCUCUCCGCUCCUCCGGCUGUUCCCAAGACCUGGAAGGUUGAUGAUUUCCAGUCAAUGCCGCUCAAAGCUUCAAACUGAGCUUCCUCGUCAAUUAACCCGGCCGGGUUAAUGUCCGGGGCAAAGGUGUGCUUACGAGUCGGCGGGACUAAGCUGAUGGCUUCAUAACGCGGAGUGGGGAUCCUCUGAUUCUCUGCAUCGUAGCCCGGCUGGUACUUGGUCAGAUCAGUGUCAUUCCCAAUCAAGGUGGCCACCAGGCGCACGAUCUUCACACAAGCAGCAAAGUCCUUUUGGUCGAAAGGGGUGCCGUCUUCCUUCAAGCUGGGGUAGCCAAGGGCAAUGUCCGCCGGGUCUAGCUCUGGAAGGAAAGCCUUGGCCCGGCUCAGAGCAGCUAUGGCUCCGGCUCUUGCAGAGGCCCGUCGCAGCUCUUGAACACGCUGAGGAAGAAAGGCCAGCCGGCGAAGUACUUCCGCCAGGUGAGUCGGAACCUCAUUGGAUAGGGCCACCACGGCCAAGGCGCGCUGUGACCCGGUGUAGAGUUGCUCCACCAGGGUGUACACGGCCUUCAGCUUGGUUAGCACGCUCUGAUUGAGGUUGGCGCUUCUGGGGCCUGUUUAACAGAGUAAGAUAAGCCGCUGGCAAUGAUGGGAGUUAUGAGACAUCAAGAUUAUAAACUUGACGAGAGCGGGUGGAAUGACUUACCGAAGAUUGCGGCGACCAUCUGUGACACGUGGCAUUUUAAGCUGGAGAGUUCGGCGGUUCUCUCCGACAGAGCCUUCUCCGCCUGUUCAGCCCGACUCGCCAGAUUAGCUUUCUCUUCGGCCCAAGUUUUACUUUCAGCUUCAAAGUUCUUCUUCAGCUUCUCUUGAGCAGCAAUACUGGACUCAAAUUUGGCGUUGGCCUUCCGGGUCUCAGUUUCCUGAGUCUUCAGGCGGCUCUUCAGCUCAGAGAUAUCAGUUUCAAAUUUUUUGCAAGCGGCCUGCACAAUUUCCGGGUUAUAGCCUGAACAAUUGUUAUGCGAUUUUAAAGUCCCAAGCACUUUCCAAGCAAAGACACUUGGCACUUGGGGGCUAAUGCAUGUUGAAAGUUUCCAUCUACAAAUUACCGGUUCAUGGAAGUAAGCCGGAACUUAAGUCUACAACAUAUUCUAUCAUAAGUAGUAGACUUGGGGGCUAGAGUAUGGUAAAGAUAACUAUGCGGUAAGCAAUAGAGUGGUACCUCAGACUUCUGUUGUAUCUGAUUCACCAUGGCGAUCUCCAAAUCCCGGCUCUUGUGCACCUGACUAACAUAGCCGGAGACGAUCUCUCCGAUGCUCAAGUGAGCAUAGUUGGUGAGGUCCAGAUUGGCCUGGCGGCGCUCUAGCAACUCUUCCUUGGCGGAGCACUUGGCCAGCGCAGUAGGUCUUCCCGGCUCAACAAACUCCAUCCGGGUGAUUACCACGUCCGGGUCAUCGGCCGGCUGAGCCAGGCUGGAGGUCUCCGGGUUAGCAGAAGUCUCUGCGAUUGGCUUAUCGGUUGGAGCGGUGGCUUCAGGAGCAGAGGCAACUGGCGGUUCUUGAGCUGCAACCUCCGGCUCAGGCAAGUCCGGCUCUUCGACCGGCUUGUUCUUCUUCGCCCUCUUGCUGAGCUUUGCCUGGGCACUGAAAGGACAAAAAGGUUAGUACAAAAGUAUGAGUAAAGAUAAGCACAACAAGAGAUGAUCAUCAUUACCCGGGUACGGUCUUGAAGGCCGGCAGGUUUGAUUGCAUCGAGUCACCAGAGGAAGGUGAGGUUUCCUGAUAGUUUGAAUCAGAAGAAUUGAGCGGUUGACGUAUAACACCCGCCAAAGGAUGAAAAGGGUACAAGUGGGAGAUAACCUCGGUCCGGCGUUUCCUCGACGCUUCAGGUAAACCGGAGGAGAGGUCAGCGUCUUUGUUGGUCCGGGUGUGCCACCGGCUCUCAUGAAUCUGUCGCUUCAAAAGAAAUUGAGGAUCUUGAUAAGCUAAAAGAUGUGAAAAUCUUACUUUCCGGGUUACUCUUCGGACUUUCAGCCUUGGCAAGGGCUCCGAGUCGGAGGAAAGUGUCAUUACCUCUUCAAUCACCGGGUUACUUGCUCCGGUGUCAUCCUGCUGAUGAACAGUAUUGAUAAGGUGGACAGAAAUAAACAAGAAAUACAGCAAGAGCUUACAGGUUCAGGGGUUACCUCUGACUCGGAGCUGUCGCUUAGUUGGAGCAGAUCUGAAGCAGUAGGCCUGCUUCCCUUCUUGCGGGGAGCGGCUCUCCUGGCGGCUUUCUUAGCCUUCCUGGCCUUCUUGGCCGCCUCAUGGUCAUACUUGACCUUCCAGAAUUUAUCAUCAGCCUGAAAAAAUACAAUGAAGAUUUCUUAAAGGUUCAGAUGAAAACUAUCUAAAGGAGAAAAUAAGAUGUUUAGAUCAGCGGCUUACCGCUGGAGCCGGGUUGGUCUUGCAGAAGGGGCUUAAGCCGGUCCUCCCCCAGUCUGCCAAGCUCUCAUUCAAGAGGGCCUUGGUCAUGUCUUCAGCAACGUCUUCAGGAAGAUUGUUGCGGCUGUGUCGCAGGGGGUCAUCUUUCCGGCCUGUGUAUUCACACAUUAAGCCGGGGCGGCGGCUCAAGGGGAUCACCCGCCACGAGAUCCAGACCCGGACCAGAUCAAUUCCAUUGAGGCCGUUUCCCAGGAGAGCCUUGAUUUUGUUGAUGGUGGGGAUCAGAGGUUGGCGCUCCGCCUGCGAUAGCUUGUCUGACAGAGGGUGAGUUGGUUCCAGGCGCGAGGAACGAAAGCCGGGCAGCGGGCUCUCGUCAGCCGGCGAAGUGUCCUGGCAGUAGAACCACGUCUGGUUCCAAUCCUUUGGGUGGCUUGGCAGCUCGGCGUAAGGAAAAAGGCAGUCUCUCCGGCGUUGAAUAGAGAUUCCACCAAGUUCCAGGCUUGGUCCGUUGGCGCACUCAUUCUGGCGGUUCAAAUAGAAUAUCUCUCUAAAGAGCAGAAGGCUGGGCUCUUCUCCAAGGUAGACUUCGCAGAAUACUUGGAAGUUGCAUAUGUUUGACACGGAAUUGGGUCCUAUGUCUUGUGGCCGCAGAUCAAAGAAAUUCAGCACAUCUCUAAAGAACUUUGAGCCGGGCGGUGCGAAGCCCCGGCUCAUGUGAUCCGCAAAUAUUACCACCUCCCGUCCCUUGGCUGUGGUCUCUCCUCUUACGGGUCAGGGGCGCGGUAAGACAUGACGUCCUUCUUGGGCAGGUAACCCGUUUUCACAAAGUCUGCUAAGGUUUCGUCAGUGACGUUGGACCUCAUCUAGUUGCAUUUGAUGGGUGCUUUGGGAGCUUUGGGAGGCAUGGUGAAAGUUGGAAGCCUAUGAUAAAAGGAAAUGUCCGGUUUAAUUAUAAGCCGGAGGAAAUUUACAGUUCAAUGUUUAAAGUGGCGGCUUAUGAAAGGGGCCUAAUGACAUAUAGCUAAAUGCAUCGGGUUAUCUAAGCCGCUGGUGGUAUUGAGAGUAAUUCAAUUGUCUACAGCUUUAUCAUAAAUGAGCCGGAAAAUUUGACGGCGCGUGGCUUCUUUGAGCCGGACAUGUAAGCCGCCAUGACUCAACAGAUGCAGUUUUUACUAAGUGUGGUGAAAACAGGUUUCACACAUCGCAGUAACUAAUUUGGAUCAAAAUGGUCGACUUAAGAGGAAAAUUUCUAGACCUAAAACAGACGCAGAAGAAGUUCGCGGGUUCGAACGGAGCCUCUAUGCAGUAAAAGGGGAUCUAUGUACAUUGGGAAUGGAAGUGAAACAACUACCGCAACAGUCUAUACAGUCUAAAGAUCAAGAAGGGUGGUAAAAAUGAAAUCUACCAAGGGCUCGCGAUGAACGGCGAAGAACACGGGAAGAACGGCCAAGAACCUAAUGUGGAUCUACUCUACGGAGUAACAGGGACUUACGGGUGCUGGAGAGAUGCGGAGGUCGCCGCCGUUAUCUGGUCACGACAGGUUGAUGCAGCGGUCAGAGUUGGUGAAGACAGGAAGACCCGCGGCGGUGGCGGCGGCGGUGGAACUCGAGCGCAGCACAGUGGCGAGAGGAAGAAGAUGGAGGUGGCGAAGUGACUGGAGGCUCAUUGGGCCGGGCUACUUAUAAGGGCAAGCUCAUAAGUGGGCGCGAGAAACGAGGAGGCCACGGCGUGGUUAUCUCACCGUAACAACGCCUCGAUUUUCAGGACGGCAGUUAAAGAUAAGAUCCGUUGCGGAUAUGGUGGAGUAAAAAAUGGAAUUAAUGGAAGAUGACGUCACGACGGGUUACCCGGAAUCCAGAAGGUGACGUCACGGUGGGUUAUGGCCUUCACACAAUUGUAAGCCGGAGAUUUUCUGUCGAAAGGAUUGAAGAUUGACAUGAGCCGGCUCAAAUCAAUCUGGGGCCUAAUGUUGAGGAUAUAAACCUUAGAGUCACCCGCCAGGAGGGGCCGGGUUACUCAUAAUGGUCAUCGCCUGAAGCCCGGUGCCAACCUUGAAGACGGCGGGCCAAAGAUGGGCUUAAGACCCGGAUAUGGCUUAAGGCCCGUAGUUACAACCGCCAUUAUGAUAGAACUUGUAGUGUAAGGCAAGAAUAGUUGAGAGUCCGAGCUGGGCACUCUUAUGAGCCGGCCGGGACUCUGAGAGCUGCUGGGCGUCAACCUCUCUAUAUAAAGGGACGACCCGGCGGCGGUUUAGGGACAAGAAAGAUCUCGUCGAGAGCCAGGCAUAGCAGUUAAGCUCCCUGGUCAUCGAAAUCCUAAUCAAUACCACCUCAACUGGACGUAGGCUUUUACCUUCACUGUAAGGGGCCGAACCAGUAUAAUCCUCGUGUUCCUUGUCCCGUUUAACCCCUUCAAGCUUCCUAGCAGCGAUGGCUCCACGACUAAGUCCUAGCUCGAGGACAUCUGCCGUGACAAUUCCACGACACGGGGGUUUAAAUAAAGAUGACCCUCGGGCUCGCGAAAACCCAAGGGAAAAAGGCUUAGGUGGCAAAUGGUAAAACCAAGGUUGGGCCUUGCUGGAGGAGUUUUAGUCAAGGCGAACUGUCAAGGGGGUCCCAUAAAUCACCCAACCGCGUAAGAAACGCAAACUCAAGGAACAUAAUACCGGUAUGACGGAAACUAGGGCGGCAAGAGUGGAACAAAACACCAGGCAUAAGGCCGAGCCUUCCACCCUUUACCAAAUAUAUAGAUGCAUUAAUAUAAUAAGAGAUAUUGUGAUAUUCCAAAAUAUCCAUGUUCCAACAUGGAACCAACUUCAACUUCACCUGCAACUAGCAACGCUAUAAGAAGGGCUUAGCAAAAGCGGUAACUUAGCGAAACAACGGUUUGCUAGGAAAGGAUGGUUAGAGGCUUGACAUGGAAAUAUGGGAGGCAUGAUAUAGCAAGUGGUAGGUAGCGCAGCAUGGCAAUAGAACGAGCAACUAGCAAAAGCAAAGAUAGAAGUGAUUUCGAGGGUAUGGUCAUCUUGCCUGCAAGGUUCUCACAGUUGUCGAAAGCUUGAUCCUCGUAAGCAUACUCAA
rnacentral:lncRNA from 1 species